AGAACGAACGCUGGCGGCGUGGAUAAGACAUGCAAGUCGAACGCGACUUAUCUGAUUAGCAAUAAUGAGGUAAGUUGAGUGGCGAAAGGGUGCGUAACACGUGGGAAUUUACCAAGAAGUGGGGAAUAGCUCGACGAAAGUCGAAUUAAUACCGCAUAUGAUCGCAAGAUCAAAGCCGGGGACCGCAAGGCCUGGCGCUUUUUGAGAAGCCCGCGGCCCAUCAGCUAGUUGGCGGGGUAACGGCCCACCAAGGCUAUGACGGGUAGCUGGUCUGAGAGGACGACCAGCCACACUGGAACUGAGACACGGUCCAGACACCUACGGGUGGCAGCAGUCGAGAAUUUUUCACAAU
rnacentral:rRNA from 1 species